rnacentral:lncRNA from 1 species
AUGUUCAUGAUUUUUCAUAUCAAUUUCUCAAACUUUAAUUACAGGUUGGCCUGGGACUUUUCUGUGGGGCAGCUAAGCAGUAAAGUGCUUAAAAUCAGUCAAUUGGAUACAUGUUUGCCAGAGACGUCCCUGAGCCUGGUGCUGUCUGGGGAUGUCAGCCUACCAGAGCUGGGUCCAGGCCGACCGGCCCUGUGUGUGAGAACACUGCUGGCUGAGCUGCACGAGGGCUUGUUCCUCAGCCAGCUACUGCUUCCACCUCCUCCUCUGGAGAGCACUCUCUCUGCAGAUGAAUGUGGAAAGGACGAGUUUUUCCAGACUGAAGCAGUGGAGCAGUUUCAUCAGCUGGUGCCCCAGAAGGUCAGCGUGGAGUUUGAGAAUACUAGUAUAACCCUGUCCAUGCACAGCCAGAAAAGGUGAGUCAUAAGACAUGGAGUUAGUAUGAAUUAUAUUUUAUGUGUUGGUUUGUGUUUCUGUUAUUCCAUUUUCUUCAUCCUUUGACUAUAUCUGAAUCAUCGGACGUGAGGACGAGCAGCUGUCGCUCAGGAGCUUCACCCCUGAGAUGAGCUUCCCUCAGAGCAGCCUGGAGCUACUUCUGGAGGGUGAGUGGAGAGCUUGGCACCAGAAAGAUGUGUGUCACAAAUGGCAAUCUAUUCCCUACAUAGUGCACUAUAUAGGGAAUAGGUUGCCAUUUUGGAUGUAGCCAUAGAGGAGGGGAUGAGAGGGUCUGGGAGGGUGGGGAAAAUAUCCAUUCCAUGUUUGUGUAUCAUCAGAUGGGCUUCUCCUCUCCCAGAGCAGACAGAGAAUCCUUUGCCUUAACACCCUCAGGACUGUCUUGCAAGUGAGUGGUGUGGAUUAGAUUGAUAUAGUUACUAGUUUUCAUAGUUGCAUUGCAUCAACAUAGCUUUUUGCAAAUAUGUUUGACAUUUGAUCUCUCGUAAGAAAUACGUUUGUUCUGAAGUCUCCUGCUUA